GAUGAACGCUGGCGGCGUGCUUAACACAUGCAAGUCGAGCGAGAAGUUUUGAAAAGAUUCUUCGGAUGAAAUUUAAAAUGGAAAGCGGCGGACGGGUGAGUAACGCGUAGGCAACCUGCCCCAUACAAAGGGAUAGCAUUUGGAAACGAAUAUUAAUACCUUAUGAAACUUAACUAGUGCAUGCUAGGUAGGUCAAAGAUUUAUCGGUAUGGGAUGGGCCUGCGUCUGAUUAGCUAGUUGGUGAGGUAACGGCUCACCAAGGCGACGAUCAGUAGCCGACUGGAGAGGAGGGAAGGCCACAUUGGGACUGAGACAAGGAGGAAACUCCGAGGGGAGGAGGCAGUGGGGGAUAUUGAAAAAGGGAUGAAACACGGAUGCAGCGAUGCCGGGUGAGAGAAGAAGGAUUUCGGUAUGUAAAGCCCUAGGACCAGGGAAGAUAAUGACGGUAACGGACUAAGAAGGCCCGGAUAACUACGUG
rnacentral:rRNA from 1 species